UAGAUCCGAAUCCUAUGUGAAUAUUCUUGGCCUGCUAAGCCAAGAAUUUGUGGUUUAACUCCAUGAAGGACUCGAU
rnacentral:tRNA from 1 species